rnacentral:rRNA from 1 species
UACGUAGGUGGCAAGCGUUGUCCGGAAUUAUUGGGCGUAAAGCGUGCGUAGACGGUUACAUAAGUCGGGUGUGAAAGCCCCGGGCUCAACCUGGGAAUUGCAUUCGAGACUGCGUAGCUAGGGUGCGGAAGAGGGAAGCGGAAUUUCCGGUGUAGCGGUGAAAUGCGUAGAUAUCGGAAGGAACACCAGUGGCGAAAGCGGCUUCCUGGUCCAGCACCGACGUUCAGGCACGAAAGCGUGGGGAGCAAACAGG